rnacentral:lncRNA from 1 species
AGGUUUUUAGGUCAGAUGUAUGACUCUUAUUCCACUUGAACUUUAUUUUUUUCCUCUCCUCUUGAGAUCUGAAACUCAAUGGUCUUUGUCACAAUUCAUGAUCCCAGGAAAAUCUGAAAAACACUAUAAUAUCAUAACCCAGGAGCAGCACCUCUAAGUGGAGGAUUUCUCUAUCUGGAGCUCUGAAAAGCACACACAAGAGAAAGCCAGGUAAUCCUCAGUGGAUAGGGGGACAGAGAGGAUUUCUAGUUGUGCUCUUCCAGAGGUGAUUUCUUUUGGAACUGCAGCUACCGCGCUCUGAGAACCGCCCAUUCCCCAGUGCACAGGAAAGGGUGGUCCAUGCCAGCCCCUUAGGAACUGCAAACCCACUCUUGCAGCCCCAGGUAAUUGGGUCAGUGGUAGAUGCUGCCUUGGGAUGGCUUGCCAGGUUCUCUCCCUUGGGAGCUUACAUUCCCUUGGGAGGCAAAAUGCUGGCCAGUCCUUGCUGGUCACUUGACAUAAAGUGCUGAGGGAUGGCUACCUUCUUUGAGAACUGAGAUGCAGAAAAAGAUGAUUGACAAGAGGAGGAUAAACAUGCUAUGUGUUAAGUCAGUGCAGUCUGAGGUUGUUUAUGACUACAGAUCAUAUUUUUUCACUAAUGCAGAUAAAGGAAAUAUAUCAUCAAGUAAAUUGAGGACAUUUGUACCUUGCAACCCAACAAUUCCGUUGCUAGACAUAUACUCAAGGGAAAACCUUAUAUAUUUGCAAAGGCAAAGGAAUGAGAUUUUAAAAAGAAGAAAACUUAAUGUGUAUCAAUGGAAGAAUGAAUACAUAAAUUGUGAUACAAAUGGAUCACUAUGCAGCAGUUAAAAAUAAAUGAAAUAAAGGUAUAUCUGUCACCAUAGGUAAGUGUCAAAAAGCAGAAAUGAAUCCGAUUAGGAGCCAUGAGAUGGUGGGUUUGAUCCCUGGCCUCGCUCAGUGGAUUAAGGAUCCAGCAUUGCCGUGAGCUGUGGUGUAGAUUUCAGACGUGGCUGAGAUCUGAUGUGGCUAUGGCUGUGGCUGUGGUACAGCUGUAACUUUGAUUGGACCCCUAGCCUGGGAACCUCCAUAUGCCAUGGGUGUAGCCCU